rnacentral:misc_RNA from 1 species
UGGUUCUGGCAUCGAUGAAGAACGCAGCGAAAUGCGAUAAGUAAUGUGAAUUGCAGAAUUCAGUGAAUCAUCGAAUCUUUGAACGCACAUUGCGCCCCUUGGUAUUCCGAAGGGCAUGCCUGUUCGAGCGUCAUUUCAACCCUCAAGCCUAGCUUGGUAUUGGACGCGGUCCUAGGACCCGUCCGCAACCCGUUGGCGGUACCGUCCGGCCUCAAGCGUAGCAAAAAACCUCGCUUCGGGAGCUCGUGGCGGCGCCCGCCAGAGGAACCACCAAUUCUAAAGUUUGACCUCGGAUCAGGUAGGGAUACCCGCUGA